CAAAAUUGCAGAGACAUGAACAUCACUGCUGAGAUCACUGAACGUCUCUACAAGUUCAACACUUUCACCACAUACAGAUACACUUCAGAUGG